rnacentral:rRNA from 1 species
UACAGAGGUCUCAAGCGUUGUUCGGAUUCAUUGGGCGUAAAGGGUGUGUAGGCGGCGCGGUAAGUCGGGUGUGAAAUCUCGGAGCUUAACUCCGAAACUGCAUUCGAUACUGCCGUGCUUGAGGACUGGAGAGGAGACUGGAAUUUACGGUGCAGCGGUGAAAUGCGUAGAUAUCGUAAGGAAGACCAGUGGCGAAGGCGGGUCUCUGGACAGUUCCUGAUGCUGAGGCACGAAGGUCAGGGGAGCAAACGGG